GAAGAAAGCUGGCGGCGUGCUUAACACAUGCAAGUCGAACGGAAAGGCCCUGCUUUUGUGGGGUGCUCGAGUGGCGAACGGGUGAGUAACACGUGAGUAACCUGCCCUUGACUUUGGGAUAACUUCAGGAAACUGGGGCUAAUACCGGAUAGGAGCUCCUGCUGCAUGGUGGGGGUUGGAAAGUUUCGGCGGUUGGGGAUGGACUCGCGGCUUAUCAGCUUGUUGGUGGGGUAGUGGCUUACCAAGGCUUUGACGGGUAGCCGGCCUGAGAGGGUGACCGGCCACAUUGGGACUGAGAUACGGCCCAGACUCCUACGGGAGGCAGCAGUGGGGAAUAUUGCACGAUGGGCGGAAGCCUGAUGCAGCAACGCCGCGUGCGGGAUGAAGGCCUUCGGGUUGUAAACCGCUUUCGCCUGUGACGAAGCGUGAGUGACGGUAAUGGGUAAAGAAGCACCGGCUAACUACGUG
rnacentral:rRNA from 1 species